UCAGUUACGAAUAGACUUCUCCUUUCAAUUCAUCAGCCCAUUCAAGUCAUCGGUCCUUUUAAUUCCUCCUCCUCCAAAUUACCAAACUUUACUCCUUUCAAUUCCUCCUCCUCCUCCUCCUCUGAUCUUCCAUUACCUCCAACAACUUUUAGAGAUGAAUUCAAUUAACCAGUUCAUCCGUUACCCUUCAUCGCGGCCCCUCUUUUCGAUUCUUACGUUACGCAGUCGAACGAUCUUAAGCCAUCAAUUUCAAAAGAUGAGUGUUAUUUCCCUAUUCAUCAACCCGUCUCCGCCAUCAUCUCUUCAUUUGUUAGAAUUUUUGCAUUGGGUACAACCAGCAAGGAAUUUCAUUGAAGAAGGUCAAGGAUUGUCCGAAUUAGGGCUUGCUUCAAGUCUUCAUCUUGCUCCUGAGUCAGUUUCAACAGAUAUUCUACUUGGUUGAAUUGCCUUUUUUUGGAAAUAUUUCUAAAUUUGUCGGUGAUUCAGGUACUCAGGUCCUACAGUUGGAUCUCAUGCCAACUCUUCCAUAUUUUCUCCCAUUGGUGGGGGCAUCUUAAGUGCAAAGGCCUCUAUGCUACUGCAGAAUGUGCCACCGGCUUUGCUUGUUCGGAAAGCCAACGGCUGUAGAGGGAUCCUUUGUCAUGGCUUGGUGAGAUUGCUUGGUUUAUUUCUCAUGCAGAUGGUAGAGCUAUUAAAAAGAUCUUGUGUGCUGCCUUUGCUGCUGCUUUGUAUCAUAUUUGGAGCGAACGAAAUGCUAGGAGAUUUCAGCCUUGUAUUAGCAGGGUUAAUGUCAUUGUGAAGAGGAUUAAGGUUGAUAUUAUAGCUAGAAUGUUAUUGGUUGGUCAACUUGUAGUUGUUUUUUGGUUUUGCGAGUUGAGUGGAUUGUUUGAUUCUUUCAUAGAGUAUGCUAUAUAGCUGGGUAUGCCCAGUUUUUGAUUGUACAUGAAAGUUAACAUGUUAACGAAA